rnacentral:rRNA from 1 species
AGCCUGAUGCAGCGACGCCGCGUGGGGGAUGACGGUCUUCGGAUUGUAAACCCCUUUCAGUAGGGACGAAGCGCAAGUGACGGUACCUGCAGAAGAAGCACCGGCUAACUACGUGCCAGCAGCCGCGGUAAUACGUAGGGUGCGAGCGUUGUCCGGAAUUACUGGGCGUAAAGAGCUCGUAGGCGGUUUGUCACGUCGUCUGUGAAAUCCCUCGGCUUAACCGGGGGCGUGCAGGCGAUACGGGCAGACUUGAGUACUACAGGGGAGACUGGAAUUCCUGGUGUAGCGGUGAAAUGCGCAGAUAUCAGGAGGAACACCGGUGGCGAAGGCGGGUCUCUGGGUAGUAACUGACGCUGAGGAGCGAAAGCAUGGGUAGCGAACAGGAUUAGAUACCCUGGUAGUCCAUGCCGUAUUUUGGUGGGCGCUAGGUGUGGGGUCCUUCCACGGACUCCGUGCCGUAGCUAACGCAUUAAGCGCCCCGCCUGGG